rnacentral:ncRNA from 1 species
AUUAGAGGCGCGUUUUUUAAAGAGUAUUCCGUAUAUUAUUUGUGCGAAAAUCGGAAGAAAGGGAAGAAAUGCCGAAAGCGAAUAUUCUCGCACGGGUAUUCGGCUUGGUCGCUCGGAUAAUAUCCGUCCGAUUGUCGCCAGAUAGGGCGGAGGGCUAUUUGU